rnacentral:tRNA from 1 species
GCCGUCGUGGCGGAAUGGUAGACGCCACGGACUUAAAAUCCGUUGAGGGGCAACCCUCGUGGGGGUUCGAGUCCCCCCGGCGGCA